CGCGGUGAGAGCUUCCUGCCUUCCACAGCUCCAUCGGACUUCAGAAGCAAAUGCAGAGGCAGUUUAACAGCCUUUAGAAGAAAUUAGCCUGUUCACACCCCCCUCUAAGCUCCUGUUUGGAAGAACAGAAGAUGUUACUCUAGAUCUGACUCAGCAGGAUUCCACAUUCUGCACAUUGUGGAUGGGUCUGCCAGUGUGACUGCACACUGGAGAAGGCCAGGCAAUUUGGAGGCAGCUUCAGGCAGGCCCAGUACUGGUGUCAGCCACC